rfam:TPA: Bos taurus chromosome X, whole genome shotgun sequence.
UCCCUGGUGGCUGAAAUGGUAAAGAAUCUGCCUGCAAUGCAGGAGACCCAAGUUCAAUCCCUGAAUUGGGAA